GACGAACGCUGGCGGCAUGCCUAACACAUGCAAGUCGAACGGAGAUUAUUUCGGUAAUCUUAGUGGCGAACGGGUGAGUAACGCGUAGGCAACCUGCCCUUUAGUUGGGGACAACAUCCCGAAAGGGGUGCUAAUACCGAAUGUGACAGUUUUCUCGCAUGGGAUUACUGUGAAAGAUGGCCUCUAUUUAUAAGCUAUCGCUAAAGGAUGGGCCUGCGUCUGAUUAGCUAGUUGUGGGGUAACGGCCUACCAAGGCGAUGAUCAGUAGCCGGUCUGAGAGGAUGAACGGCCACAUUGGGACUGAGACACGGCCCAGACUCCUACGGGAGGCAGCAGUGGGGAAUCUUCCGCAAUGGGCGAAAGCCUGACGGAGCAAUGCCGCGUGAGUGAUGAAGGAAUUCGUUCCGUAAAGCUCUUUUGUUUAUGACGAAUGUGCAGAUUGUAAAUAAUGAUCUGUAAUGACGGUAGUAAACGAAUAAGCCACGGCUAACUACGUG
rnacentral:rRNA from 1 species